UCUCCUGUAGCUCAGUGGUAGAGCAUCCGACCGGUGUGCGGAAGGUCAUUGUAGGUUCGACUCUUGUGUCACUGACAGAA